UGGCGCCUGCGGCGGACCCGGCACGCGCAAACAGAUGACUUCGCAGGCAGUCUGUGUGUGUACGGUCUUGUACAUCCCGGAAUUACCGGGAUUUAACGUUUUCU
rnacentral:ncRNA from 1 species